GGGGAAAAAAUGAAUCAAAAAUACUAGUAUGCACCUACCAUGCAGAUAACUCACUUCUCAUGUUCCUUUUUCUCAUUUAAAAGCAAGUUUGGUUAGCUCUUCCUGUCACGUUGAGAAAAAGGAUAACCAGUCUAUUUUCACAUUCAUUUAUUUCUUCUUCAUCUUUAUACUCAUUCUCUCUUCGAAUCUUAUUCUAUGAGAUGGCUCCAUCUCAUCCGCCCUAAUUACUGGUUCUCUCAUCUGUUUGCUUUUCCCUUUGGGUUUUGAUACUUUGUGCAUAUGUCUUGCCUUGAUGAGCACUGGAGAAUUGCCUUGUUUUGGUAUAUGCAUUGGUCUCCUUCAGCCACCCAAGUAACCACUUACCCUUUUAAAAUCUUUUAUUUAGAACUUUCCUUAAUACGAACACAACCUUAUUUAAACCAUUUUAUGACACCAUCAUUGUUUAAGUAGCUAAAAACUCCUACACACAGUGAGCUGAAUGAAAAUCUCACCUCCUGCGCCACACAGAGCCUUCAUAUUUUUUAAUUAGUGUCUCACAUACAGCUCCUUUCUACUUCCCACAGAAUUAGGGA
rnacentral:lncRNA from 1 species